rnacentral:tRNA from 1 species
AAGUGUAUACCUCAGCGGUAGAGCACGUGCUUAGCACGCACGAGGUCCUGGGUUCAAUCCCCAGUACUUCCA